UAGAGUUUGAUCCUGGCUCAGGACGAACGCUGGCGGCGUGCUUAACACAUGCAAGUCGAACGGAAAGGCCCCUUCGGGGGUACUCGAGUGGCGAACGGGUGAGUAACACGUGGGUGAUCUGCCCCAAACUCUGGGAUAAGCCUGGGAAACUGGGUCUAAUACUGGAUAUGACCUUCCGCUUCAUGGUGGUUGGUGGAAAGCUUUUGCGGUUUGGGAUGGGCCCGCGGCCUAUCAGCUUGUUGGUGGGGUAAUGGCCUACCAAGGCGACGACGGGUAGCCGACCUGAGAGGGUGAUCGGCCACACUGGGACUGAGACACGGCCCAGACUCCUACGGGAGGCAGCAGUGGGGAAUAUUGCACAAUGGGCGCAAGCCUGAUGCAGCGACGCCGCGUGAGGGAUGACGGCCUUCGGGUUGUAAACCUCUUUCGCUAGGGACGAAGCGCAAGUGACGGUACCUAGAGAAGAAGCACCGGCCAACUACGUGCCAGCAGCCGCGGUAAUACGUAGGGUGCGAGCGUUGUCCCGGAAUUACUGGGCGUAAAGAGCUCGUAGGCGGUUUGUCGCGUCGUCUGUGAAAUUCUGCAACUCAAUUGCAGGGCGUGCAGGCGAUACGGGCAGACUUGAGUACUACAGGGGGAGACUGGAAUUCCCUGGUGUAGCGGGUGAAAUG
rnacentral:rRNA from 1 species